rnacentral:rRNA from 1 species
GAUGAACGCUGGCGGCGUGCUUAAUACAUGCAAGUCGAGCGAACAGACGAGGAUCUUGCUCCUCUGACGUUAGCGGCGGACGUGUGAGUAACACGUGGAUAACCUACCUAUGAGACUGGUAUAACUAAGGGAAACCGGUGCCAAUACCGGAUAAUAUAUUGAACCGCAUGGUUGAAUAGUUAAAGACGGUUUUGCUGGAACUUAUAGAUGGAUCCGCGCCGCAUUAGCUAGUUGGUAAGGUAACGGCUUACCAAGGCAACGAUGCGUAGCCGACCUGAGAGGGUGAUCGGCCACACUGGAACUGAGACACGGUCCUGACUCCUACGGGAGGCAGAAGUAGGGAAUCUUCGGAAAAGGGCGAAAGACUGACGGAGCAGCGGCGCGUGAGUGAUGAAGGUCUUCGGGUCGUAAAACUCUGUUAUUAGGGAAAACCGAAUGUGUAAGUAACGAUGCACGUCUUGACGGUACCUAAUCAGGAAGCCCCGGCUAACUACGUG